rnacentral:rRNA from 1 species
GAUGAACGCUGGCGGCGUGCCUAAUACAUGCAAGUCGAGCGAACGGACGAGAAGCUUGCUUCUCUGAUGUUAGCGGCGGACGGGUGAGUAACACGUGGAUAACCUACCUAUAAGACUGGGAUAACUUCGGGAAACCGUAGCUAAUACCGGAUAAUAUUUUGAACCGCAUGGUUCAAAAGUGAAAGACGGUCUUGCUGUCACUUAUAGAUGGAUCCGCGCUGCAUUAGCUAGUUGGUAAGGUAACGGCUUACCAAGGCAACGAUGCAUAGCCGACCUGAGAGGGGGAUCGGCCACACUGGAACUGAGACACGGUCCAGACUCCUACGGGAGGCAGCAGUAGGGAAUCUUCCGCAAUGGGCGAAAGCCUGACGGAGCAACGCCGCGUGAGUGAUGAAGGUCUUCGGAUCGUAAAACGCUGUUAUUAGGGAAGAACAUAUGUGUAAGUAACUGUGCACAUCUUGACGGUACCUAAUCAGAAAGCCACGGCUAACUACGU